UACGGAGGUCUCGAGCGUUAGGCGGAAUCACUGGGCUUAAAGCGCACGUAGGCGGCUUUUUAAGUCAGGGGUGAAAUCCUGGAGCUCAACUCCAGAACUGCCUUUGAUACUGGGAAGCUUGAGUCCGGAAGAGGUGAGUGGAACUCCGAGUGUAGAGGUGAAAUUCGUAGAUAUUCGGAAGAACGCCAGUGGCGAAGGCGGCUCACUGGUCCGGUACUGACGCUGAGGUGCGAAAGCGUGGGGAGCAAACAGG
rnacentral:rRNA from 1 species